rnacentral:pre_miRNA from 1 species
CCCACACCCAUGCGUGUAGGACCCCAAAUGAUCACCAUUAAAUUUGGCACAGAUCUCUAAAAACGUUAUGAUAUGGGUGUGGGGUCUGACUUUUCUAGAGAUCUAUGCCAAAUUUAAUGGUGAUCUUUUGGGGUCUUACACACAUGGGUGUGGG